rnacentral:sRNA from 1 species
CGCUAUACUACCCUUUGAAUUUGCAGGCCUCCUUCUCUACAGCCUGCAUUCACCGUGU